rnacentral:lncRNA from 1 species
UAACCCCACCUAACCCGGGAUAGCCCAUUUUGGGUGGGGUUAGCUAACCCCACCUAAUCCCACCAAAUCCCAACCAAACACUAUUUUCUAUUUAUUAUAACCCACUAUUCUUCUUAUCCCACCUACUCCAACCAAACACUAUUUUUCACUAUCCUGGACUAACUCCAACCCCCAACCAAACACAAAAAUACUCUAACCCUACCUUACCCCUGAACUUAACCCUAUCUCUGGAAUAACUAGUUUUUCCUUAACCCCGAACCAAACGGUAGCUAAGAAUCAUUAGAUUUAUUU